UAGGGAAUCUUCCGCAAUGGGCGAAAGCCUGACGGAGCAACGCCGCGUGAGUGAUGAAGGUCUUCGGAUCGUAAAACUCUGUUAUUAGGGAAGAACAAAUGUGUAAGUAACUAUGCACGUCUUGACGGUACCUAAUCAGAAAGCCACGGCUAACUACGUGCCAGCAGCCGCGGUAAUACGUAGGUGGCAAGCGUUAUCCGGAAUUAUUGGGCGUAAAGCGCGCGUAGGCGGUUUUUUAAGUCUGAUGUGAAAGCCCACGGCUCAACCGUGGAGGGUCAUUGGAAACUGGAAAACUUGAGUGCAGAAGAGGAAAGUGGAAUUCCAUCUGUAGCGGUGAAAUGCGCAGAGAUAUGGAGGAACACCAGUGGCGAAGGCGACUUUCUGGUCUGUAACUGACGCUGAUGUGCGAAAGCGUGGGGAUCAAACAGG
rnacentral:rRNA from 1 species